rnacentral:lncRNA from 1 species
CAUUUUUGGAUAUCCUUUUUCGUUCUAAGCAUGAAUAUGGCACUGGUUUUUGCAUGCAAAGCCUGAAUCAACGUAGAUCUACGCUUUUUGCUCGCGGUUUUGAAAGAAACUUUUUCAAGUUUUUUUACUUUUUCGAAUGGAAUCUUUUAGAAUUUCGUAGAUCUACACUUGAUUCGUCUUUGUUGAUGUUCUUGGAAAAAAAAGAUGAGGUUUGAGUUUUACCUGUGAUUUUCUUGGUGAUUUCGAACCGAAUCUUCAAGAAAACUUGAGUUGAAUCUUGUUCUGUUGAUUCUGGCUUGAGUUCUUGCUGUUCCGAUCCUCUCUUCUUCUUCACAGGUUCGACGUGUUCAUUUUCGUCCCUCUUCUUCGUCUCCGAGAAAGUCUCUGUGAUCGUGCUUGAGUUUGCCG